rnacentral:rRNA from 1 species
UACGUAGGGUGCAAGCGUUAAUCGGAAUUACUGGGCGUAAAGCGUGCGCAGGCGGUUUUGUAAGUCUGUCGUGAAAUCCCCGGGCUCAACCUGGGAAUGGCGAUGGAGACUGGCAAGGCUAGAGUUUGGCAGAGGGGGGUAGAAUUCCGACGUGUAGCAGUGAAAUGCGCAGAUAGUCAGGAAGAAUCACCCGUGGCUAAGGCGGCUCUCUAGUACGGUACUGACGCU